ACAAAAUAAGGGCAAGCAUCGCUUUUGUUUUUGUUAUUUUGUGGAAAGGGCAUACACAAGAUUAAAGACAAAAUUUCGAUUACGCUUUACAUCGCUGUUUGUUUAUGCGUCUUUGUUUUAUUUUGUGCUACUCUUUUGCUCAAACGCAGCUGUGUUUCCUAGAUGAUGAAAUUAUUGCAAGCAUUUGAGUUGAGAAGUGCAAAGCGGAUCCGCGAUCAAUUAUUAGAAACAGAUAAUAAAAGAAUAUCAAGCAGUUAGUAUAAUGCAUAGCUCUAUAGUGGAUAGCGACAAUGUGCUUAAAGAAGAGGAUGUGGAAAUUAUGACAGAAAAUCUACGUUAUGGAAAUAAUGACAGGGGAAUGCGGCCCAAAAAAAGAAGACAAUUUCUUUGGUGUUAUGAUCGAUUCAAUAACUGAGGACCAGUUGAGAAAGGCCUUGCAGCUCCAAAAAAAAAACGAUAUUUUAAAACUCAAGUUGCCUUAAAGUAAUAAAAGUAUCAGAC